rnacentral:rRNA from 1 species
AGGCCGACAGGCGUAGUCGAUGGACAACGGGUUGAUAUUCCCGUACCGGCGAACAACCGCCCAAGCU